AGGGGAUGUUUUGAAGGAACUUCUGAUGCUUAUGAACUCAGGGCUGCCCACAGGGAUCUCACAUCCUGUCGGGCCAAGCUGCCUGGUCUGGGGUCAGAGGCAGAACCCGGCUGCCGCCAGGACAGCCCUGCCUCCUAGGCCUCAGGCCUAGGCCAGCAGAAACCCCUCCUUCCUUCUUCCUCUCCGACAAGCUUGCAGCCCUCCUGGCAGAGGGGCCGCAGACCCAGCACGCUCCGCGGGUGUUCCACACACUGCUGGCAGCCCAGCCCCUGGGCAAGCAGGGUCCCCGGACAUAGGCACAGGAUCCUGACCAGGGAUUUCUGUCUAUGAGAUUGCUUUGUGGGGCCGGCCCUGUGUGCCCUGGGGUCCCCCAGGCUGGACCCUCCUGCCUCACUCCGGUGGCAGCAUGGCAGUGGCAGCAGCCGUCCCUGUCUACUGAACACCAACACCAGCUGUGUCUGGCAUCCCAUCCAGUCCUCGCAGGAGCCCUGCUGUGUAGGGGAGGCUGUACCCAGUUUACAGACAAGAAAACUGAGACUCCAAAAGUCUCUGCCACUUGCUGGGGCGCUGGAGUUGUGGCCAGAAACAGCGGCUGGACUGCAGGGAGCACAGUGUCUGGAGCUGUCAGGGCAGGAGCGGGAACCCAGGCUACUACAGAGACCACCUGGGCUGGAGGGGAAGAGCUGCUGAGGGCAGCUGUGCAGGCUGGGCCCUGCGCAAUCGAGGGAGUCCUGCACUUUCAAGGUCACUUCAGACAAGUGUGGAACCCAGGUGGGGCCUGGAGUCGGUGGAAACCAGCCUUGUCUUGGACCACACCAGGGAAAGGAAAUCGCUCCCCGGCGGCCAGACUGUGGGGCCGUCUCCAGCCCGGCUUCAGGAAGACGUUGAGCAAACACAGACCAGACCGGGCUGAGGCCAGCAGCUGGGCAGGGAGCCGCACCAGCCUCAUGCUGUUCCCACAAAGGGCUCCUGUUCCCUGGGCUGGGAGGGUGUCACAGUUCCUGAGCAGUGUCGUCUCGGCUCCCAGAACUCCUGGUAGGUGA
rnacentral:lncRNA from 13 species